rnacentral:rRNA from 1 species
UACGAAGGGGGCAAGCGUUGUUCGGAAUUACUGGGCGUAAAGGGCGCGUAGGCGGCUUAUCAAGUCAGGCGUGAAAUUCCCGGGCUCAACCUGGGGGCUGCGCUUGAUACUGAUGAGCUUGAAUGCGGGAGAGGAUAGUGGAAUUCCCAGUGUAGAGGUGAAAUUCGUAGAUAUUGGGAAGAACACCGGUGGCGAAGGCGGCCUUCUGGACAGUAACUGACGCUGAGACGCGAAAGCGUGGGGAGCAAACAGG